CCCUUAGAUGUUCUGGGCCGCACGCGCGCUACACUGACGCAUUCAACGAGUCUAAAACCUGGUCUGAUAGGGCUGGGUAAUCUUUUGAAUGUGCGUCGUGAUUGGGAUAAAUGAUUGUAAUUCUUCAUUUUCAACGAGGAAUGCCUAGUAAACGCAAGUCAUCAGCUUGCAUUGAUUACGUCCCUGCCCUUUGUACACACCGCCCGUCGCUCCUACCGAUUGAAUGAUCCGAUGAAUAUCAUGGAUUGAGGAUUAUAGCAGGUUCGCCUGUCUUGAUCUUCGAGAAGUGAAGUAAAUCUUAUCAUUUAGAGGAAGGAGAAGUCGUAACA
rnacentral:rRNA from 1 species